AUUGAACGCUGGCGGCAGGCCUAACACAUGCAAGUCGAACGGUAACAGGAAGCAGCUUGCUGCUUUGCUGACGAGGGGCGGACGGGUGAGUAAUGUCUGGGAAACUGCCUGAUGGAGGGGGAUAACUACUGGAAACGGUAGCGAAUACCGCAUAACGUCGCAAGACCAAAGAGGGGGACCUUCGGGCCUCGUGCCAUCGGAUGUGCCCAGAUGGGAUUAGCUAGUAGGUGGGGUAACGGCUCACCUAGGCGACGAUCCCUAGCUGGUCUGAGAGGAUGACCAGCCACACUGGAACUGAGACACGGUCCAGACUCCUACGGGAGGCAGCAGUGGGGAAUAUUGCACAAUGGGCGCAAGCCUGAUGCAGCCAUGCCGCGUGUAUGAAGAAGGCCUUCGGGUUGUAAAGUACUUUCAGCGGGGAGGAAGGGAGUAAAGUUAAUACCUUCGCUCAUUGACGUUACCCGCAGAAGAAGCACCGGCUAACUACGUG
rnacentral:rRNA from 1 species